GUGAAUCGUGAACACAUCUGCCCAGGGCCUGUCUUCAUCCUUCUCCAGGGAAUCACAACUUCUCCAGUCUUAUCUGAGGAUAGCUCAGUGGUUUGUGGAGGGCAGAGUUUGAGACAGACAAAAAGAAUAAUGGAAUCUGCUUGGGGGAAACUCCAGGAAUCUUUGGAGAGACUAAAGGGGGAACAGCAGAAAGUUGAGAUGCUGGAAGAUGAAAUUCAAGAAGAGAUUUCUACCUGGAAGGUGUGAGGAGAUGCUUCUUGAAGGAGUUAGACAUCUGGGCAAGACUUUGGAUUGGUCACAAGGAACUGCCUUUCUCUUUGUUCCCUGAUAGCUGUGUCAUUUGACUUGUAUUUUUCUUUGUCCUUUCCCUGAUAGGAAUGAGUGCUGAAAAGUGAAUAUAUCACAAAUGAACACAGAUAGCGGAAGGGAGGUAUUCAUACAGAGGGACUCUCUUGUGAGGAUGAUUAGGGAAUUGCAUAUCC
rnacentral:lncRNA from 1 species